rnacentral:rRNA from 1 species
CCUGGUGGUUAUUGCGAGGAGACCAAACCCGAUCCCAUCCCGAACUCGGCCGUUAAGCUCCUCAGCGCCGAUGGUACUCCGUCUUAAGGCGUGGGAGAGUAGGUCACUGCCAGGC